rnacentral:lncRNA from 1 species
GCAGAUGGAUUUCCAGAUGUUCCUGAGGGAAGUACCUCUGCCCUGCUGGCCACACCCUUCUGAACUGCUGGUCAUCUCCUGAACCUCUUCUAUAUCUCACACAUCUCCAGAGGAGCUCCUGGCAGCUGAACCCUUUCUCCUUCACUAACCUGCCAACACAGGUGAGAAAGGACCCCUUUGUCCUUGUUCCCCAAUGCUUGCCUGGCACUGCACUACCACAGGACACUCACUUGGCAUCCUGCGGUCAGUGACUUAGGCACUGGGGACCUCCAAAAAUAGCCUGUCCACUCCACAUAGCAGUGCUAGAGAGCAGAUGCCACAACUGCAAAGAAAUCUCUGUCUCAGCCCAAGAUGUCUCAAGUUCAAGUUUAAGUGCUUCAGGCAGAGUUCUCAGGGGUUGUGGUCUCAGGCCAUCCACUGGAGCAACAAUGGGCCAUUUCCAGCAGGGACGGUGCAGUGUUGCCCCCGGUGCCUGACUGCCACCCACCUCCAGAGAGUCGCGGUGUCUGAAAAGUAAGUCCCAUGUUCAUGGGUCCUGACCAUGCUGCAGGGACAAGCGUAGUGAACAACUUGAGCAACAGAGCUUGUGAGGGUCCUGGGGACAGAUGACCUGAAAAUUGGGUUUAAAGCCAGGGAGGAAUGGAGUGUUAAUUUAUCCACUCAAGUUCAGUGAGAGGAAAUUAUGAAAUGAAUUUCAUGUGUAUUAAGAUUUGUGUUUAGAGUAUUAAGCAUUGGAGUUCCCACCGUGGCACAGUAGGUUAAGAAGCCAACUGCAGUGGCUCAGGUCGCUGCAGAGGUUUGCGUUCAAUCCCUAGCCAGGCACAGUGGGCUAAGGAUCUGGCAUUGCCACAGCUGCAGCAUUGGUUCCAGCUGUGGCUCUGACUUCUGAUUCAAUCCCUGGCCCAGGAACUUCCAUAUGCAGUGGGUGUGGCCAUUAAAAAAAAGAAGAAGAAAGGAAAUAGAAUAGUAGACAGUAGCCUUAAAAGCAAUGUGGGCUAUAGUGAAUGACCAACAGGUGAUUUGAUUUACAGGAGUGCAAAAUUUGUUAAGCAACCCUGCCAUCUGUAGCUUUCAUGAUUGAUUUUUUUAAGUAUUACAAGAGGAAUUUAAACAAAAGUAGAAAGUCUCAUCUUAACAUAAUACUUGCUUUUAUUUCUAAUGUCCCUCUUAGUUCUUGUCCCAAAAUACAGUUUUUAUCUAGUUGAUAUCAGAGCCUAGCAAUUCUUUUGCCAAAUAACUCUUCCUACAAAUAUCUUCAUUUACUGUUUUGCCUACUCUUCAUUUUGAUAAACUUCAAAUUUAUAGAAAAAGGGAAAAAUAAUGCAGUGAACACAUAUAUUCUUCAAUCAGAUUUACUAGCUGUUUGCCUAAACACACACACAUACAGCUACGGACAUUUGGGGAGAUUGUAAAUAUGGACUUGUGUAUGUUAUGGAUUGUGUGUGUACAGUUUUUUUUCUCUGAAUCAUUUUAAAUUAAGUUGCAGGCAUCAUGGCAUACUUUGCAUUCAUCUCCUAAGUUCAUAAGCUGUCUUCACUAUAAUAAUGUGUAAUUCAACAAUCAUAGUGCUUUUCAAUACAUAGUCCCAACUCAGAUACCCCUGGUUGUCCCCAAAAUAUUUUUUUUCUUCUUUGGCUGUCCUGUGGCACAUAGAGUUCCUGGCCAGGGAUCAGAUUGGAGCCACAGUUGUGACAACACCAGAUCUUUAACCCACUGUGCUGGGCCAGAAAUCAAAUGUGCGUUCCAGUGCUGUGGAGACACCACUGAUCCUGUUGCACCACAGGGGGACCUCCCCCCAAAUACUCUUUAUAGCUGUUUUCCUUUAUCUAGCAUUUAAUUAAGUAUUAGGCCCUAAAUCUGGUUGUGUCUCCUUAAACCGAAAACAAAACUCUGCUUCUGUCUAUGUCUUUGGUGAUGUUGAUUUUUUUUUUUUUUUAAGAAGCUAGGCUGUUUGUUUUGUACAGUAUCUCAAAGUCUGGAUUUGUCUGACUGAUCCCUCAUACUUAGACCCAGGUAAACAUCUUAUGUAUUUGCCCCAUAUCAGUGGGCCCACCACAUCAUUGUGACCUGGUAUUAGUAGUGAUAAGUUCAACUAAGGUAAUUAAUGCAGAGCCCUCCUUUAUAAUAUUACCUUUUUUAUUCUUUGUAAUUAAUAAGUAAUCAGUGGAGUGAGCUUAGAGACCACAGGAAUACUCUCUAUCCCAGACAACUUUUAUUUUCUUUUUUUUGGGGGGGGGGACCGUACCUGUAACACAUGGAAGUUCCCAGACUAGGGGUCCAAUUGGAACUGCAGCUGCCAGCCUACACCACAGCCACAGCAACGCCAGAUCCUAGCUGCACCUGCGAUCCACACCUCAGCUUGCAGGAACGCCAGAUCCUUAACCCAUUGAGUGAGGCCAGGGAUUUAACCCACAUCCUCAAGGAUGUUAGUUGGGUUUAUAACCCGCUAUCAACGGGAACUCCUUUCCUAGACAAUUUUGAGACAAUUUUUUUACCUAAUGGCUUUAGCAUCCAUUGCUGGUUGUAUUAUAAUUUUUCACUAAUUAGUCAAUCAGCACAUCAUAUUUUCUUCCCUGUCCCCUAGUCCUUCAUUUUUCUCUUUUCCCACAGUUGUGAGAUAUUACAUGAGAGAAUAUCUGGGUAGUCAAGAGAAGGAUUCUAAAAUCAGACCAUCUAGAUGUGCCUCUUGUCUCUGUCACACACUGACCAGAUGACCUUGAGCAAAGGCUCCACCUCACAAACCUCAGUGCCUUGUCCUUCACAUUGGGACACAGGAGCAGCUCCUGUAAGGGGUGUCCAGUGGGGCUCACUAGGUAUUCGUACAGAGGCAGGGGGAUGCUGAGCGCCACUGGAUGCUGCUCCAGCCCUGAAGUCAUUUGUAAGCCAUGAAAGCUGAUUCAGACCCUUGGCAAAAAAGGCUGAUAAACCUGAGUGACAGGGCAGAGGUUGCCCCUGGCCUGAGCGGGCACAGUUCUAAGUCCCUGUGGUUAGAAGGUUGCUUAGAGAUUCAAACUCAGCAUGGCAGGAGGCAUCCAUCAGUGAACCAUGCCCUGAUGAGGUGGCCUCCGCUGUUCCAGUGCUCUCUGUCACACUCCCCUCCUCUCCUCCCCAGGGUUGGGUCUCCCCAGCCUGCUGUCCAUUUGCCUUUUGGUCACAAGUAACCAAUUGGACUUCUUGUUUGAAGGUUAUUAGAUUUUUUUCUGUUUAGAUUCAGUCCCUAUGGUUUUAUUUGCACUCUCUGGCCAUGGAAUCUUCCUUGAGUAUGUUUUGGGAAUUUUACCAAGCUUGUGAAUAUACACACGAGUUUGCAAGCUGCACAUGGAUAUGGAUUAAAUGAGUCUUAAGCUGGGGAAANNNNNNNNNNNNNNNNNNNNNNNUUUCUUUCUUUCUCUCUCUCUUUCUUUUUUUUUUUUGUUUUUUGUUUUUGUUUUUGUUUUUGUUUUUGUUUUUGGCCACCCUGCAGCAUAUGGAAUUCCCAGGCCAAGGAUCAGAUCUGAACCAUAGUUGCAACCUACACUCCUAUGCUGCAGCUACAGCAAUGCCAGAUACUUUAACUCACUGUGCCUGACAGGGAAUCCAACCUGCAUCCCAGCACUGCAGAGACACUGCUGUUUCCAUUAUGCCACAGCAGGAAGUCCCAGCUAGAGCAUUUUAAAAGCACUUGCUCUGAACAUUUUACUUGUCUUGUUUUCUUCCUCACAAUUCUUCAAAGCAGAUGAGGGCUGGUGUGAUCAACAAUGGCUGGACCAGUGUGUGUGCUGUGCUUGGCCUGCUUCCUGCUUGCCAAGCCAAGCUUGAAGAAUGGCUCUGUAGAGCCACCUAUUCUGCUUUCUGGGGUGACACCAGCCCAGCUGGCCUGUGUUAGCCAGGGCAAAGGCUGGGCCCUGUAGACCCAGAAAUGAAACCUCUGCAUGGGCUGUAGGCCCAGCCCAAAGCUUCCCUCAAGUGUCAUCACCUCCUCCUUCCAUUUUCCUGCUUCUUAACCUGUACAAGCCAGGGAUCCUUGCCUGUCUCAUGUCCCCUUGAUGGGGAAGAGACUGUGGUACAGGCCCUUAUGGGACAGCUGGAGCACAGCUGAAAAUCAAACCUCUGCUUUCGCAGUGUGAACUAAAGAUUGACACUUGGAAUCUGCCUGUGCAAGGAUUGAAUCAUGAGCCAUUGCAGCUGCUGACCCUCAACACCCGCAAAAGGAGCUCGGGGUGGAGAUCAAGAGUGAGGUACUCUGUGCUCUGGAAAAACUAGAAGAACAGGUCUUCAAAUAGUUAGAUAUUUCAGGAGAAGAUUUUACAAGCCCAAUUUUUGCAUCUCCUCAUAGCUAGAAAAAGCACUAAAAUUCUUCAUGGCCGUUUUUAAGGAAAGUGUUAUCUGGAUGUAUGCCCAAGAGUGGGAUUGCUGGGUCAUAUGGAAGUUCUAUGUAUAGAUUUCUAAGGUACCUCCAUACUGUUCUCCAUAGUGGUUGGACCAGCUUACAUUCCCACCAGCAGUGCAGAGGAGUUCCCAUUUCUCCACAACCCCUCCAGCAUUUGUUAUUUGUGGACUUAUUAAUGAUGGCCAUUCUUACUGAUGUGAGAUUGUAUCUCGUGGUAGUUUUGACUUGAAUUUCUUUAAUAAUCAGGGAUGUUGAGCAUUUUUUCAUGUGCUUGUUGGCCAUCUUCCUUGGAGAAAUGUCUAUUCAGGUCUUUUGCCUGUUUUUCACUUGGGCUGUUGGCAUUUUUGCUAUUGAGUUGUAUAAGUUGUUUGUAUAUUUUAGAGAUUAAGCCCUUGUCAGUUGCAUCAUUUGAAACUAUUUUCUCCCAUUCUGUAAGUUGUCUUUUUGUUUUCUUUUUGGUUUCCUUUGCUGUGCAAAAGCUUUUCAGUUUGAUUAGGUCCUAUUGGUUUAUUUUUGCUCUUAUUUCUGUUGCUUUGGGAGACUGACCUGAGAAAAUAUUCAUAAGGUUGAUGUCAGAGAAUGUUUUGCCUAUGUUCUCUUCCAGGAGAUUGUUGGAGUCUUGUCUUAUAUUUAAGUCUUUAAGCCAUUUUGAGUUUAUUUUUGUGCAUGGUGUGAAGAUGUAUUCUAGUUUCAUUGCUUUGCAUGCAGCUGUCCAGGUUUCCCAGCAAUACUUGCUUAAAAUACUGUCUUUUUCCCAUUUUAUGUUCUUGCUUCCUUUGUCAAAGAUUAGUUGACCAUAGGUGUCUGGGUUUAUUUCUGGGUUCUCUAUUAUGUUCCAUUGGCCUGUCUGUCUGUUUUGGUACCAGUACCACACUGUCUUAAUGACUGUGGCCUUGUAAUAUUUCCUGAAGUCUGGGAGAGUUAUGCCUCCUGCUUGGUUUUUGUUCCUCAGUAUUGCUUUGGCAAUUCUGGGUCUUUUGUCACUCCAUAUAAAUUUGUGCAUUGCAGCACUAUUCAUAAUAGCCAAGACAUGUAAUCAACCCACAUGUCCAUUGACAGAUGAUUGGAUUAGGAAAAUGUGAUAUAUAGACACAGUGGAAUACUACUCAGCCAUAAAAAGAACAAAAUAAUGCCAUUUGCAGAAAUAUGAAUGGAACUAAAGACUCUCAUACUGAGUGAAGUAAGUCAGAAAGAGAAAGACAAAUACCAUAUGAUAUCACUUAUAUCUGGAAUCUAAUAUACGGCAUAAAGGAACCUUUCCACAGAAAAGAAAAUCAUGGACUUGGAGAAUAUACUUGUGGUUGCCAAGGGGAAGGGGGAGGGAGUGGGAUGGAUUGGGAGUUUGGGAUUAAUAGAUGCAGACUAUUGCCUUUAGAAUGUAUUA